UAGUGGGCUGUAAAUUCUACUUUGUUGCCGAUGUUCGCCCUUGCAGUAAAUGGGAUGCCAUUAUUCUGCAGUUUGCAGCUAGGGGUGAAGUUAAACUACCCAAUUUGGACACUUUCAUAAUUUGGGGGUCACUGGCUGGAUUUUCAUCACUACAUCAUCUGCCUUUUAAGUGGAUAUUUUUAUGUAGAAAGAUCUAACAAACCUGACUGGGGAGACAUCAUCCACAUCAUAAGAGACCUGAAUUUGCUUUUCAGCUUUGUCACUGAUUAUCCCUGAGACCUUAGUUGUCCCAUACCGGAUGUUGAAGCACAGAGCCCCAUGCUGGAGCUGGAUAUCGGCAAACCGUCUAGUCCUUCCACUCAACACAGAAGUCAUCUGGGACACAGUGACAUUGACACCAUUCUCCAGAAUCCGCCUCCCCCCAGUGUUACCGAUGAGCACCAGGUCUUCUUCCAGAGACCCAAGCUUAAUGAAGUACUGUGCUAAGGAAAAGAAGAAGGCCUGCUUUUUGUUCAUACUUGGACCAGCAAGGAAAGCAGGAAGAGUGCCCUGGGGAGCCAUGGAUUGGGUUGCCAGCAGAAAUUAAAGCACCCAUGAAGGGGGGGUACAAGCAGAAACUCCAAAGAAGUGUCUGUUGCCUCUGCUCACAUCCUUUUCUUGCUCUUUCCUAGGAGUUUGUGUUUUAAUAGCUUAAGAGAAAAUCCAGUUGACCCUUGAACAAUGCAGGAGUUAAGGAUGCCAACCCCCUACACAGUUGAAAAUCUGUGUAUAACCUUUGAUUCCCCCAAAAUGUAACUACUAAUAGCCUACUGUUGACUGGAAGCCUUACUGAUAACAAAGAGUUGAUCAACGCAUAUUUUGUAUGGUACAUGUUUGUAUACUGAAUUCUUACAGUGAAGCAAGCUAGGGAAAAGAAAAUGUUUUUUCAAAUUGCUACAAAUCUCUAAAAAGUUUUCCAAUAUAUUUAUUGGAAAAAAUCCACGUAAAAGUGGCCCCAUGCA